rnacentral:misc_RNA from 1 species
GAACGCACAUUGCGCCCAUUGGUAUUCCAUUGGGCAUGUCUGUUUGAGCGUCAUGUCAACCCUCGGCUCGCGCCGGUUCUGGACCUGCGGUGCUGACCGGGAAUCUCGGUCAGCCCGCCGGUUUUAAAGUUGCACGCUCCGCUGGCCGCCCAGCUCAACCGGAACAUAGUAAGCACUUACUCCUGUUCGCGGUCGGGUCAUGGCGCGCUCGGCCUGAACAAAACCUACCCAUCUUCAAAGGUUUGACCUCAGAUCAGACAAGGAUACCCGCUGAACUUAAGC